rnacentral:rRNA from 1 species
UGCGUGACCAACCUGCCCCAUGCUCCAGAAUAGCUCUUGGAAACGGGUGGUAAUGCUGGAUGCUCCAACUUGACGCAUGUCUUGUUGGGAAAGUGUUUAGUGGCAUGGGAUGGGGUCGCGUCCUAUCAGCUUGUAGGCGGGGUAAUGGCCCACCUAGGCUUCGACGGGUAGCCGGCCUGAGAGGGCGGACGGCCACAUUGGGACUGAGAUACGGCCCAGACUCCUACGGGAGGCAGCAGUU